rnacentral:lncRNA from 1 species
CCCAUAAGCCCCUAGCCUCUCCUCUGUGCUUCAGGUGCCUGAGGUGACCCACAGCUCUGUGUCUCCCUCCUCCUGCAGGCAAAGCCCAAGACCCUGUAGUGGGAAUCAUGAGAAGAGUGGGGACCCAGAGUUUAGGCCCUACCAAGCCUGAACUCCCCAGCUGGGCUCACUCUGGAGACAGGAGCCUCCCUCGUGACCCAGAGCCCACUCGCCUCUUUACUCGGGCCUCCUCCUCCUCCUCAGUCAGGAGGGGAAGAACCCAAAGCUAGAGGAGCCCAGGUGGCCGUCACUUCUGAUGUCCCAUCCUCUGUUCCCACCCGCAGGGAUGUUUAGGCCUGCAUUCCUCGAUGGGAAUGCAGGCCUAGGAGAGCCGGAGGUUCGUCUGCAGUUCCCUGGAUUAAAUCCUACGUGCCUGGAAAUGUACCUGGACACAGCCCUGGGGCUGCUGACUGCCAUCCCGUCAUGCCGUGUACACAACUGGACACAGUGACACCAGCUCAUCCCUCCUGCCAUCCCAGGACAGACCUUCUUCUUUCUGAGAGAUUCCAGGGGCGGGCACCUCCCACUCCGAUGCCACCCUCCCUGGGACAAUGCUUCCUCGGAAUGUGUCCAAGGACAGUCACCAUGGCUAAUUACACAGAUUACCUCCGUCCAUUCACAAGGUCCAAUCAAAACAAGGCUAUCGCCCUGCAGAGCAGAUGGGGGGGACCGCAGGGGAGGGAGGCAGGGUCCUCCAGGGCCACUUGGUGUGUGAUAAAAGGGCAUUGGGAGGCUGGCUGGGAGCACAGAGCUGACUUGGGGACCUUGCAGCUACUUCUGCUGGCCACCAGGGUGAGCCUUGUCUCUGCAGUGCCAGCUGUGUCACCUCUGCUGACUCCUGCGGACGCCAAGGAGGUGACAUCCCUGGGGAGGCAUGAGGAGGGACCUGGGGUCGAUCAAGGCUCCAGAGGACGUUGGUGGGCUCUCCUGUGUUGUGUCCUUGGGCCUGCUAAGUGGAGGAAGGGGUCCUUAAGGGACAGAGUGCCGUCGUCCUGCCUUCUGGGAGCGUGUGCAGGGCUGAGACGUGGCUUGGGGAGGCCACCCCAGGCUGUUGCUGGGUGGAUGUUGCCAGCACUGUGGGCUCCAGAGAGGCUUCUUCAAU